rnacentral:rRNA from 1 species
CCUACGGGUGGCAGCAGUGAGGAAUAUUGGUCAAUGGGCGAGAGCCUGAACCAGCCAAGUCGCGUGAGGGAGUACUGCCCUAUGGGUUGUAAACCUCUUUUGUCGGGGAGCAAAAGCCGGACGUGUCCGGCUGUGAGAGUACCCGAAGAAAAAGCAUCCGCUAACUCCGUGCCAGCAGCCGCGGUAAUACGGAGGCUGCGAGCGUUAUCCGGAUUUAUUGGGGUUAAAGGGUGCGCAGGCGGAUUGUUAAGUCAGCGGUAAAAUCGUGGGGCUCAACCCCAUCCAGCCGUUGAAACUGGGGAUCUUGAGUGGGCGAGAAGUAUGCGGAAUGCGUGGUGUAGCGGUGAAAUGCAUAGAUAUCACGCAGAACUCCGAUUGCGAAGGCAGCAUACCGGCGCCCAACUGACGCUGAAGCACGAAAGCGUGGGUAUCGAACAGGAUUAGAUACCCGGGUAGUC